GUCUUUAGUUCAAUUCAAAAUGCACCUUGAAGGAUGUAUAAUGCCAAGAGUAUAAUGAGCAUGUCAUUGUAACAGGCCUUAACUCAUUAAAAAUCAAGGCUGCAAUAAACUUUAAUUUUUAAAAUCAAAUUUUGCAUGCAUUCCAUAACAAUUUUUUUUGUGAUACUUACAUUGGGUGCUUUUUCAUUUUUGUAAGGUGUUAACGUUUGCUAAUAAGGUGUUGUUUAUAAUGUA